rnacentral:rRNA from 1 species
UCAAGUGAAGAAGCGCAUACGGUGGAUGCCUUGGCAGUCAGAGGCGAUGAAAGACGUGGUAGCCUGCGAAAAGCUUCGGGGAGUCGGCAAACAGACUUUGAUCCGGAGAUCUCUGAAUGGGGGAACCCACCUAGGAUAACCUAGGUAUCUUGUACUGAAUCCAUAGGUGCAAGAGGCGAACCAGGGGAACUGAAACAUCUAAGUACCCUGAGGAAAAGAAAUCAACCGAGAUUCCCUUAGUAGUGGCGAGCGAACGGGGAUUAGCCCUUAAGCUUCAUUGAUUUUAGCGGAACGCUCUGGAAAGUGCGGCCAUAGUGGGUGAUAGCCCCGUACGCGAAAGGAUCUUUGAAGUGAAAUCGAGUAGGACGGAGCACGAGAAACUUUGUCUGAACAUGGGGGGACCAUCCUCCAAGGCUAAAUACUACUGACUGACCGAUAGUGAACCAGUACCGUGAGGGAAAGGCGAAAAGAACCCCGGAGAGGGGAGUGAAAUAGAACCUGAAACCGUAUGCGUACAAGCAGUGGGAGCCUACUUGUUAGGUGACUGCGUACCUUUUGUAUAAUGGGUCAGCGACUUAUAUUCAGUGGCAAGCUUAACCGUAUAGGGUAGGCGUAGCGAAAGCGAGUCUUAAUAGGGCGUUUAGUCGCUGGGUAUAGACCCGAAACCGGGCGAUCUAUCCAUGAGCAGGUUGAAGGUUAGGUAACACUGACUGGAGGACCGAACCCACUCCCGUUGAAAAGGUAGGGGAUGACUUGUGGAUCGGAGUGAAAGGCUAAUCAAGCUCGGAGAUAGCUGGUUCUCCUCGAAAGCUAUUUAGGUAGCGCCUCAUGUAUCACUCUGGGGGGUAGAGCACUGUUUCGGCUAGGGGGUCAUCCCGACUUACCAAACCGAUGCAAACUCCGAAUACCCAGAAGUGCCGAGCAUGGGAGACACACGGCGGGUGCUAACGUCCGUCGUGAAAAGGGAAACAACCCAGACCGCCAGCUAAGGUCCCAAAGUUGUGGUUAAGUGGUAAACGAUGUGGGAAGGCUUAGACAGCUAGGAGGUUGGCUUAGAAGCAGCCAUCCUUUAAAGAAAGCGUAAUAGCUCACUAGUCGAGUCGGCCUGCGCGGAAGAUGUAACGGGGCUCAAACCACACACCGAAGCUGCGGGUGUCACGUAAGUGACGCGGUAGAGGAGCGUUCUGUAAGCCUGUGAAGGUGAGUUGAGAAGCUUGCUGGAGGUAUCAGAAGUGCGAAUGCUGACAUGAGUAACGACAAUGGGUGUGAAAAACACCCACGCCGAAAGACCAAGGGUUCCUGCGCAACGUUAAUCGACGCAGGGUUAGUCGGUUCCUAAGGCGAGGCUGAAAAGCGUAGUCGAUGGGAAACAGGUUAAUAUUCCUGUACUUCUGGUUACUGCGAUGGAGGGACGGAGAAGGCUAGGCCAGCUUGGCGUUGGUUGUCCAAGUUUAAGGUGGUAGGCUGAAAUCUUAGGUAAAUCCGGGGUUUCAAGGCCGAGAGCUGAUGACGAGUCGUCUUUUAGAUGACGAAGUGGUUGAUGCCAUGCUUCCAAGAAAAGCUUCUAAGCUUCAGGUAAUCAGGAACCGUACCCCAAACCGACACAGGUGGUCGGGUAGAGAAUACCAAGGCGCUUGAGAGAACUCGGGUGAAGGAACUAGGCAAAAUGGCACCGUAACUUCGGGAGAAGGUGCGCCGGCUAGGGUGAAGGAUUUACUCCGUAAGCUCUGGCUGGUCGAAGAUACCAGGCCGCUGCGACUGUUUAUUAAAAACACAGCACUCUGCAAACACGAAAGUGGACGUAUAGGGUGUGACGCCUGCCCGGUGCCGGAAGGUUAAUUGAUGGGGUUAGCGCAAGCGAAGCUCUUGAUCGAAGCCCCGGUAAACGGCGGCCGUAACUAUAACGGUCCUAAGGUAGCGAAAUUCCUUGUCG